AUGGCAGCGCCUGCCAGAGCUGGGACAGUUACUGCAGCCCCAGACAGGAAGCGCUGGCUGUGGUCAGUGCUGGCAGUGGUGCUGGGGCUCUUGACAGCUGGACUACCAGCCUUGGAAGCAUAUACACCAAAAGAAAUCUUCAUGGCAAAUGGUACAUAAGGGAAGCUGACCUGCAAGCUCAAGUCUACUAAUAUGACUGGCGGGUUGACCUCAGUCUUCUGAAGCUUCCAGCCAGAGGGGGCUGACACCACCACGUCAUUUUUCCACUAUUCCCAAGGGCAGGUGUACCUUGGGAAUUAUCCACUAUUUAAAGACAGAAUCAGCUGGGCUGAAGACCUUGACAAGAAAGAUGCAUCAAUCAACACAGAAAAUAUGCAGUCUAUAUACAAUGGCACCUAUAGCUGUGAUGUCAAAAACCCUCCUGACAUUGUUUUCCAGUCUGGACACAUUAUGCUCUAUGUUGUAGAAAAAGAGAGUUUGCCUGUGUUUCCAGUUUGGGUAGUGUGGGGCAUAGUUACUACUGUGAUCCUAGGUCUCACUCUGCUCAUCAGCAUGAUUCUGGCUGUCCUCUAUAGAAGGAAAAACUCUAAACGGGGUUACAUCAGAGAGUUUGUCACACCAGUUAAACAGGCUCCUCGGAAGUCCCACUCUGACACUGAGGGUUUUGUAAAGAGACUGCCUUCUGGAUCUCACCAGGUCCCAGUCAUAUAUGCACAGUUAGACCACUCUGGUGGACAUCAUAGUGACAAGAUUAACAAGUCAGAGUCUGUGGUGUAUGCGGAUAUCUGAAAAAAUUAAGAGAAGACCUAGAACAUAUCCUCAGCAAGAAACAAAACCAAACUGGACUCUGGUUCAGCAAAUGUAGCCCAUUACCACAUGUAGCCUUGGAGACCCAGGCAAGGACAAGUACAUGUGUACUCACAGAGGGAGAGAAAGAUGUGUACAAAGAAUAUGUAUAAAUAUUCUAUUUAAUCUUCCUGAUGUGAGGAGCCAAUGUUGCAUGAUGAAAAGAUGGUAUGAUUCUAUAUAUGUACCCAUUUUCUUGCUGUUUUUAUACUUUCUUUUCAGGUCCUUUACAAUUGGGAGAUUUCAGAAACAUUCCUUUCACCAUUAUUUAGAAAUGGUUUGCCUUAAUGGAGACAGUAGCGGAUCCUGUAGUAUUUCCAGUAGACAUGGCCUUUUAACCUAAGGGCUUAAUCAGUCUUAGCAUUUAUUGUAGUUGGAGGACGGAGAUGCUAUGAUGGAAGCAUACCCAGGGGGCCUUUAACACAGUAUCAGUACCAUUUAUUUGUUUGCAGCUUUAAAAAAGUAUCCAUUGACUAUGCCACUGGAAAACAAUUUGAGAAGUUUUUUUGAUGUUUUUCUCAUUAAAAUAUGUGGCAAUUGUUAGCCUUACAUGUUGUGUAGACUUACUUUAAGUUGCACCCUUGAAAUGUGUCAUACCAAUUUCGGGAUUCAUAAUAGCAAGAUUAGCAAAGGAUAAAUGCCGAAAAUCACUUCAUUCUGGAUACCUUUGGAUCAAUACUGAUUAAAUAGAAAAUCCAAGCUUUGCUUGAGAACUAUUGUAAUGUGGAGAGUAAAAGGUAUCGAUUUUACUCUUUGCUGAUGUCCUUUCUGCUUGAAAUAACAGUCCCCACACAGCAAAAGGAGAGGAGUUUCUUCUAAGUAGGCAGAAAUGAGAUCAUUAUAUUGUUACUCUCCAAUAUCCCAGAGUUCGCUCUCUAGAGAAUCACCUUUUGCUUUUUUUUUUUUUUUUUUUUUUUGAGGUAGAGUCUCACUGUGUUGCCCAGACUAGCCUUGAACUCUUGGGCUCAAGUGAUUCUCCCUCCUCAGCCUCCCAAGUAGCUGGAACUAUAGUUGCACCACAGCAGCUGGCAAGAAUCACCUUUAUAAUUAGUUAUGCUUCCAUCUAGAGGCAGCAUUAGUCAUGGCUUUGUAACAGCUUUAUGGUGCCUCAAAGACUGUUGAGGUUAACGAGAGCCUAAAUUAGACAGUUUGGCUGUCCUUCCCUAAAACUUGUUUUCUCCCAUUCACUACUCCCCACCCCACUUAAAAUCUAUGAGUUUUUACUUUUUACUGGGAAUGGAAAGCAUGGUGAAGAUCAUUAAACACUUAUGUUGUCA